CAUUUGCCACAUGACUUGUAAUGAGUCGGUAGACGGUUUUGCUUCUCUCUAACUUGGGGGUGAAUUAUACCCUACAUCGUACUUACCAAAAUGUCCAUAUAUCAUGUUAAUAAGCUUAUCUUCUUUCCAUAGAUCAAUUAUCGAGAUGAGCAUUUGAUGAAUGGAGUUUAUAGGAUAUGAUGCACGUGAUGUAGAAAAUUUAUUCUAACUUAGAUGCCA
rnacentral:lncRNA from 1 species